GGACCCGUUGCAUAGCCUGGAUAGUGCGAACGCUUGCGGAGCGUUAGGUCGCAGGUUCGAAUCCUGCCGGGCCCG
rnacentral:tRNA from 12 species